AUUGAACGCUGGCGGCAUGCCUUACACAUGCAAGUCGAACGGCAGCACGGGAGCAAUCCUGGUGGCGAGUGGCGAACGGGUGAGUAAUAUAUCGGAACGUGCCCAGUCGUGGGGGAUAACGCAGCGAAAGCUGUGCUAAUACCGCAUACGAUCUACGGAUGAAAGCGGGGGAUCGCAAGACCUCGCGCGAUUGGAGCGGCCGAUAUCAGAUUAGCUAGUUGGUGGGGUAAAGGCCUACCAAGGCGACGAUCCGUAGCUGGUCUGAAAGGACGACCAGCCACACUGGAACUGAGACACGGUCCAGACUCCUACGGGAGGCAGCAGUGGGGAAUUUUGGACAAUGGGCGCAAGCCUGAUCCAGCAAUGCCGCGUGCAGGAUGAAGGCCUUCGGGUUGUAAACUGCUUUUGUACGGAACGAAACGGUGAGCUCUAAUACAGUUUGCUAAUGACGGUACCGUAAGAAUAAGCACCGGCUAACUACGUGCCAGCCGCCGCCGUAACAC
rnacentral:rRNA from 1 species